GUCCAGCUGACGAGUCCCAAAUAGGACGAAACGCGCUGGGGCUGGAU
rnacentral:hammerhead_ribozyme from 1 species